ensembl:lncRNA LINC01927 long intergenic non-protein coding RNA 1927
GAGUUUGUCAAGCCAGAAAGCAACCCUCCAGCAUCCAGAUUACCCUUCGAAGACGGCAAAGAAAAAGAGAGCUCUGAAAUCACUCAACGCAUAGGAGCUGGUUCUAUAAUUUUUAGACUUUAAUUAAAUCAAUUAUUAAAGCCUUUCUUAAUGCCUUGCUGAGAUAUUCAGGCUCGGGCUGCCUCAGGAGAGAGGAAGUGGUUGAAUGCACAGAGGUGGCUAAUAAGAGGGGACACAACAUUCCAGAAUCCCACAGGAAAGAUUCUACCAUCUCCACAGCUGCCCUCGCCGCAGUCCUCCCUACUGUUGGAGAAGAUGCCCCCAAUAACUGGGGUGUCUCGAGCUAGUGGACACAUCAUGGAGCUGGAGUGGACUGUGUCAUUAAGAUCCUCCCAUGGCCUCAUCCUGUGCUGGCCAUCGCUAUGCGUCCAGUAAGGAGGUAGAACACUGGAUGAGCCACAGAAAGCACACAGGACUUUGCUGUGGAAGAGUCAAAGAUCCACGUGGGAGCAUCCCGUAGGGGACUUGCGUUUCAGAUCAGAUGAUGCUUUUCAUGUAUGUCCAGCAGCAAGAGAGUCCUUCACUGGUGAAAAAUCACGGGCCUCAGAGCAGAUUUUAGUUCAUCUUUCAUUUCAAAGCACUCCUUAGAUAUCUGCAAAUUAAAUCCCCUAAUUUGGUGAGGACGCCCAGCUUCCCAAAUAACAAGGCUUUUCCUUUGAUUCUAACCAAGUGAGCCGGCCCUGCAAAAGCCGGGGUGCGUGUUCUGGCUCCAGGCUUCUGAGCAGCCUUUCUCCCCACGCUGCAGCUUUUCAGUUAGGAAGUCAGAGAGAAGGAAAGAGAACUAUUUCCAAUUCAAUCACGAGCAUGUCUACGCACCACUGAAGACAGACCUUUGUCCUGUUGCUUUCCAAACUUUAAAUGUGAAUUUUUCUUCUUAUGAUGACUGGUGUACUCUGUUAUUCUGAAAAAAGAAAAAGCCAUAAGCACCCUGAAGUGAGGCUUUCACCUGAUACUAAUUUUCUUCUUCGUUAUAAGGCUAUUGUUUGUUUGAACAAAGAAAUAGGAGCCAUUGGUGGCUGUUUACAUUAUAGGAAUGAGGGCAGCGAUGGGGGAGGAGGAGGGGACCUUUUCAUUAAUGAGCUGGGGACAUUGAUUAUGGGGACACACUAAAGACUAAAAGGGACACCUAUAUUUCUACAUUCUUUCCAUGCAAGUAAUAUAUGAUCUUUAUCAUCUGUUAAACACCACUCACAUAUUUCAGGUGGCUGUAGGUUGAUUGCUAACAUUUAGAUUAAACAAGCAGUUAGAGUCUGAUGUUUAAAAUAAAAUAAGACAAGCCCUUGAACUCUGGGACCAGGUAUGCCCCGUUAUCUGGUCGUACCUGAACGAGCCUGUGUUGAGCACCCAAGGCCGCUGGGCACGUCUGUGGAUGUGGGGUUUCAGGCUCAACCCACUCGAGGAGCAGGGGGCUUUUGGGAGGUGGCAGCCUCCUAUACAAAACGAGCUGCCAGUAAAUAUUUAUAGAACAAAGAAAUGCAUGAAUUUCUCCUGAAUUAAACAUGAUACAUUUGUACAGAGCAUA